GGGCAAUUGGUUUAGUGGUAUAAUACCCCCUUAGCAUUUCAGCCUAUCCCGGCCCUGCAUGGGGGUGGUCCAGGGUUCGAUUCCCUGAUUGUCCA